rnacentral:tRNA from 1 species
UCUCUGGUGGCUCAGAGGGUAAAGCAUCUACCUCCAAUGUGGGAGACUUGGGUUUGAUCCCCAGGCAGGGAA